UUUGAUGGCGACCGGCGCACGGGUGAGUAACACGUAUCCAACCUGCCGAUGACUCGGGGAUAGCCUUUCGAAAGAAUGAUUAAUACCCGAUGGCAUAGUUCUUCCGCAUGGUGGAACUAUUAAAGAAUUUCGGUCAUCGAUGGGGAUGCGUUCCAUUAGGUUGUUGGCGGGGUAACGGCCCACCAAGCCUUCGAUGGAUAGGGGUUCUGAGAGGAAGGUCCCCCACAUUGGAACUGAGACACGGUCCAGACUCCUACGGGAGGCAGCAUG
rnacentral:rRNA from 1 species